rnacentral:lncRNA from 1 species
AAUACCUUAAGGAUGUCUAUUUUAACUCUUAGUAUUAAUGUCUAAAUCAGCAUUUGGGAAACCCCCCAGUCAUACCAUAUGGCAGUUCAGAUCUAUCCUGCAGUGACUCACGUCUUUUCUGGUGCAACCCAAUGUUUUCAGACUAUUAUGGAGUUUGCAAAGAAUAUCCAACUCAAACAGGAUCUUUACAAGAAAUAUACCAGAUUAAGUACGAACGGCAAGAACGAACAGAAGUCCACCUCAAGCCCAUUCGUUGAGAACAGCCGUCCGCUCUGAAGCGGGCACAGUCCACGCACGUGCCUGAAGCGAGAGCUGAGCCGUCCAAUCAAAUUGGGUGUAAUCUUGUGAUUAAACACUGCAGAUUUUUCAGAAUGCCAAAGACAUCUGCAUUUCCCCCAUGUUUAUUCUUUCGAUGUCACAUCUACACUGCUAGCCUGACUUCCUUCACAGUUUAAAAAUAUAAAAUUAAAGAAAAAGAAAUACAGCUCCGAGUGUGAACCACAGCCGCAUAACUAAGGGUGGGGCAAAGGCUUACCUGAGUAGCACUAGGAAUCAGGACAUAAGGAAGACAGAGCAGCAAAUCUCAACCAUGACCCCA